AUGGGGUUUAAGGGAGCAGCCGUGACCCUGCUGGAGUCCGGGGGGGACCUCCAGCCCCCCGGGGGGUCCCUGCGCCUCCUCUGCCGAGGGUCCGGGUUCAGUUUCGGCAGUUUCUCCAUGAUCUGGGUCCGCCAGAGACCCGGGCAGGGGCUGGAAUACGUCGCGGCGAUCACCAGCACUGGUGGUUACACCGAAUACGCGCAAUCGUUGAAGGGCCGGGUGACGAUCUCCAGGGACAACGGGCAGAGCUCGGUGACGCUGACCAUGAACAGCCUCAAGGACGAGGAUUCCGGAUCCUAUUUCUGUGCCAAAAACGCUUAUGAUGGUGGUGGUGGUUAG